UGGCGGCGUGCCUAACACAUGCAAGUCGAGCGAGGAGAUCCUUCGGGAUGAUCCUAGCGGCGGACGGGUGAGUAACACGUGGGCAACCUGCCUCAUAGAGAGGAAUAGCCUUCCGAAAGGGAGAUUAAUACCUCAUAACAUUGCAGUUUCGCAUGGAACAGCAAUUAAAGGAGUAAUCCGCUAUGAGAUGGGCCCGCGGCGCAUUAGCUAGUUGGUGAGGUAACGGCUCACCAAGGCGACGAUGCGUAGCCGACCUGAGAGGGUGAUCGGCCACAUUGGGACUGAGACACGGCCCAGACUCCUACGGGAGGCAGCAGUGGGGAAUAUUGCACAAUGGGGGAAACCCUGAUGCAGCAACGCCGCGUGAGUGAUGACGGCCUUCGGGUUGUAAAGCUCUGUCUUCAGGGACGAUAAUGACGGUACCUGAGGAGGAAGCCACGGCUAACUACGUGCCAGCCGCCGC
rnacentral:rRNA from 1 species